AUUGAACGCUGGCGGCAGGCCUAACACAUGCAAGUCGAACGAGUGGCGGACGGGUGAGUAAUGUCUGGGAAACUGCCUGAUAGAGGGGGAUCACUACCGGACACGGUAGCUAAUACCCCAUACCAUCAGAUGUGCCCAGAUGGGAUUAGCUAGUUGGUGGGGUAACGGCUCACCAAGGCUACGAUCCCUAGCUGGUCUGAGAGGAUGACCGGCCACGCUGAAGCUGAGACACGGUGCAGGCUCCAACGGGAGGCAGCAGUGGGGAAUAGUGCACAUUGGGCGCAAGCCUGAUGCAGCCAUGCCGCGUGUAUGAAGAAGGCCUUCGGGUUGUAAAGUACUUUCAGCGGGGAGGCGUUACGCGCAGAAGAAGCACCGGCUAACUCCGUGCCAGCCGGCGCGGUAAUUC
rnacentral:rRNA from 1 species